CGUGAGGUGGGUUAUUAUUUUCCCGCAUUUGAUUAAUCUGGUUAAUUUGUACCGGUUUUGUUUGAUGAUGUUGUUUAAAUUUCUUAUUCUUUGUUCUAAUUAUAGUGGGAGGGCAUCGGCGGAUGUAAAGGUUGGUACUGGGAGGAAGAGUACGUUCAGCACGUACAAAAUUCUGUUGCACAAGAGGUUGCCGUUGAAGGUGAUGAGGCAGUGAGCCAGCAAAAGAAGUCCAUCAAUGUUGAUCUAGCGGAUGUGCAGCUGUCUCUUUUAGUUGGGAU
rnacentral:lncRNA from 1 species